rnacentral:rRNA from 1 species
UACGUAGGGGGCGAGCGUUGUCCGGAUUUAUUGGGCGUAAAGAGCGUGUAGGCGGCCAGGUAGGUCUGCUGUGAAAACUCGAGGCUCAACCUCGAGAUGUCGGCGGAAACCAUCUGGCUAGAGUCCGGAAGAGGAGAGUGGAAUUCCAGGUGGAGCGGUGAAAUGCGUAGAGAUCUGGAAGAACACCAAAGGCGAAGGCAGCGUCCUGGCGAGCAACUGACGCUCAUGUGCGAAAGCUAGGGGAGCGAACGGG